rnacentral:rRNA from 1 species
CCUACGGGAGGCAGCAGUGGGGAAUAUUGCACAAUGGGGGAAACCCUGAUGCAGCGACGCCGCGUGAGUGAAGAAGUAUUUCGGUACGUAAAGCUCUAUCAGCAGGGAAGAAAAAAAGUCCUUUGGACUUUGGACGGUACCUGACUAAGAAGCCCCGGCUAACUACGUGCCAGCAGCCGCGGUAAUACGUAGGGGGCAAGCGUUAUCCGGAUUUACUGGGUGUAAAGGGAGCGUAGACGGCAGCGCAAGUCUGGAGUGAAAUGCCGGGGCCCAACCCCGGAACUGCAUUGGAAACUGGUCAGCUGGAGUGCAGGAGAGGGAAGCGGAAUUCCUAGUGUAGCGGUGAAAUGCGUAGAUAUUAGGAGGAACACCAGUGGCGAAGGCGGCUUACUGGACUGUAACUGACGUUGAGGCUCGAAAGCGUGGGGAGCAAACAGGAUUAGAUACCCGUGUAGUC